rnacentral:rRNA from 1 species
GACGAACGCUGGCGGCGUGCCUAAUACAUGCAAGUCGAGCGGACCAAAGGGAGCUUGCUCCUGGAGGUUAGCGGCGAACGGGUGAGUAACACGUGGGCAACCUGCCUGUAAGACUGGGAUAACAUCGAGAAAUCGGUGCUAAUACCGGAUAAUAAAAAGAACUGCAUGGUUCUUUUUGAAAGAUGGUUUCGGCUAUCACUUACAGAUGGGCCCGCGGCGCAUUAGCUAGUUGGUGAGGUAACGGCUCACCAAGGCAACGAUGCGUAGCCGACCUGAGAGGGUGAUCGGCCACACUGGGACUGAGACACGGCCCAGACUCCUACGGGAGGCAGCAGUAGGGAAUCUUCCGCAAUGGACGAAAGUCUGACGGAGCAACGCCGCGUGAGUGAUGAAGGUUUUCGGAUCGUAAAACUCUGUUGUUAGGGAAGAACAAGUGCCGUUCGAAAGGGCGGCACCUUGACGGUACCUAACGAGAAAGCCACGGCUAACUACGUGCCAGCAGCCGCGGU